rnacentral:rRNA from 1 species
UUGGAGGGCAAGUCUGGUGCCAGCAGCCGCGGUAAUUCCAGCUCCAAUAGCGUAUAUUAAAGUUGCUGCAGUUAAAAAGCUCGUAGUUGAAUUUCGGGACCAAUAUGUCGGUCGUGCCUCGGUACGUACUGGCAUCGUUGGUUUCUCCCUUCUGAAGAACCAUGAUGUCAUUUAUUUGGUGUCGUGGGGAAUCAGGACUGUUACUUUGAAAAAAUUAGAGUGUUUAAAGCAGGCUCACGCUUGAAUACAUUAGCAUGGAAUAAUGAAAUAGGACGUUUGAUUCUAUUUUGUUGGUUUCUAGGAUCGACGUAAUGAUUAAUAGGGAUAGUUGGGGGCAUUAGUAUUCAAUUGUCAGAGGUGAAAUUCUUGGAUUUAUUGAAGACUAACUACUGCGAAAGCAUUUGCCAAGGAUGUUUUCAUUAAUCAAGAACGAAAGUUAGGGGAUCGAAGACGAUCAGAUACCGUCGUAGUCUUAACCAUAAACUAUGCCGACUAGGGAUCGGAUGAUGUUAAUUUUUUAAUGACUCAUUCGGCGCCUUACGGGAAACCAAAGUGUUUGGGUUC